rnacentral:rRNA from 3 species
GUGGCCUGUGAGGGUUGCUGGAGGUAUCAGAAGUGCGAAUGCUGACAUAAGUAACGAUAAAGCGGGUGAAAAGCCCGCUCGCCGGAAGACCAAGGGUUCCUGUCCAACGUUAAUCGGGGCAGGGUGAGUCGACCCCUAAGGCGAGGCCGAAAGGCGUAGUCGAUGGGAAACGGGUUAAUAUUCCCGUACUUGGUGUUACUGCGAAGGGGGGACGGAGAAGGCUAUGUUGGCCGGGCGACGGUUGUCCCGGUUUAAGCGUGUAGGUGUGUGUUCCAGGUAAAUCCGGUUCACUUUAACACUGAGGCGUGACGACGAGGCACUACGGUGCUGAAGCAACAAAUGCCCUGCUUCCAGGAAAAGCCUCUAAGCAUCAGGUAACAUCAAAUCGUACCCCAAACCGACACAGGUGGUCAGGUAGAGAAUACCAAGGCGCUUGAGAGAACUCGGGUGAAGGAACUAGGCAAAAUGGUGCCGUAACUUCGGGAGAAGGCACGCUGACACGUAGGUGAAGUGAUUUACUCAUGGAGCUGAAGUCAGUCGAAGAUACCAGCUGGCUGCAACUGUUUAUUAAAAACACAGCACUGUGCAAACACGAAAGUGGACGUAUACGGUGUGACGCCUGCCCGGUGCCGGAAGGUUAAUUGAUGGGGUCAGCGCAAGCGAAGCUCCUGAUCGAAGCCCCGGUAAACGGCGGCCGUAACUAUAACGGUCCUAAGGUAGCGAAAUUCCUUGUCGGGUAAGUUCCGACCUGCACGAAUGGCGUAAUGAUGGCCAGGCUGUCUCCACCCGAGACUCAGUGAAAUUGAACUCGCUGUGAAGAUGCAGUGUACCCGCGGCAAGACGGAAAGACCCCGUGAACCUUUACUAUAGCUUGACACUGAACAUUGAGCCUUGAUGUGUAGGAUAGGUGGGAGGCUUUGAAGUGUGGACGCCAGUCUGCAUGGAGCCGACCUUGAAAUACCACCCUUUAAUGUUUGAUGUUCUAACGUGGACCCGUUACCCGGGUUGCGGACAGUGUCUGGUGGGUAGUUUGACUGGGGCGGUCUCCUCCUAAAGAGUAACGGAGGAGCACGAAGGUUGGCUAAUCCUGGUCGGACAUCAGGAGGUUAGUGCAAUGGCAUAAGCCAGCUUGACUGCGAGCGUGACGGCGCGAGCAGGUGCGAAAGCAGGUCAUAGUGAUCCGGUGGUUCUGAAUGGAAGGGCCAUCGCUCAACGGAUAAAAGGUACUCCGGGGAUAACAGGCUGAUACCGCCCAAGAGUUCAUAUCGACGGCGGUGUUUGGCACCUCGAUGUCGGCUCAUCACAUCCUGGGGCUGAAGUAGGUCCCAAGGGUAUGGCUGUUCGCCAUUUAAAGUGGUACGCGAGCUGGGUUUAGAACGUCGUGAGACAGUUCGGUCCCUAUCUGCCGUGGGCGCUGGAGAACUGAGGGGGGCUGCUCCUAGUACGAGAGGACCGGAGUGGACGCAUCACUGGUGUUCGGGUUGUCAUGCCAAUGGCACUGCCCGGUAGCUAAAUGCGGAAGAGAUAAGUGCUGAAAGCAUCUAAGCACGAAACUUGCCCCGAG